rnacentral:rRNA from 1 species
CCUUCGGGAACCGAGUAGAGUGGCGCACGGGUGAGUAACACGUAGGUAAUUUGCCUUUGGGUGGGGAAUAACUCAGGGAAACUUGAGCUAAUACCGCAUAAUGCAGCGGCUCGACAUCGAGACAGUUGUUAAAGCGGGGGAUUCGCAAGAACCUCGCGCCUGAAGAGAAGCCUGCGGCAGAUUAGCUAGUUGGCAGGGUAAUGGCCUACCAAGGCGACGAUCUGUAACCGGCCUGAGAGGGCGGUCGGUCACACUGACACUGACAUACGGGUCAGACUCCUACGGGAGGCAGCAGUCGGGAAUUUUGGGCAAUGGGCGAAAGCCUGACCCAGCAACGCCGCGUGAAGGAUGAAAUUUUUCGGAAUGUAAACUUCGCAAGAACAGGAAGAAUAAGUGGGGGACAAUACCCCCCAUGAUGACGGUACUGUUUGUAAGCUCCGGCUAACUCCGUGCCAGCAGCCGCGGUAAUACGGGGGGAGCAAGCGUUGUUCGGAUUUACUGGGCGUAAAGGGCGCGUAGGCGGCGUGACAAGUCACUUGUGAAAUCUCCGGGCUUAACUCGGAACGGUCAAGUGAUACUGUCGUGCUAGAGUACAGAAGGGGCAACUGGAAUUCUCGGUGUAGCGGUGAAAUGCGUAGAUAUCGAGAGGAACACCUGCGGCGAAGGCGGGUUGCUGGGCUGAUACUGACGCUGAAGCGCGAAAGCCAGGGAGCGAACGGGAUU